GCCAGCAGCCAGAGAGUCAGGAGUUCCUGGAGUAAUGAUGUCAGAAGCAGCUAGAACCGCAGGUGCUCCAAUCAAGAGAGAACAGUAACAGGGAAAGAUGAAUGAUUCAGAGUUUCCCUGUAGGAAUGACGUACAUCACCAAUGUGUGAAGUCCUGCCCUGCCCUUCUUCCCCUUUCUUUCACAACCCUUCCAACUUGGACUUAUGGGUUAGCAAGCAGAUAGAAAAUGAACUUGGUGGAUGGAGUGGCUGAAGAUUUUGACAGACGGUGAUGACGAUGACAACAACAACUGCAACAACAACAACUUGCUGUUGGGAGAAGCUCUUUGUACAUCUUUGCAAAACUAUCAUACAAUACUACACAUUUUAUCUUAAAAUUUCUACCGUGAUACUUGCAAAAACUUGGGAAUAGUUAGACAGCUGUUAUGCUGAGACAACUGCUUAAAAUGCUGAUGAAUAUUGUCUCAUCAUUUCCUUGACUCCUUGUACAUCAAGGAAAUGAAGAGCUAUCUCUUACCUUGUAGUUAGAUUUUACAUCCUUGGGGAAGAGGAAAAUCUCUUUGUUCUGGAUGUGUACACCAGCUAGCACAUGGGGUCCUGGACAGCAAGGAACAGUUUCAAUUUAGUUCUAUAAGCACCUCCCACUUCUUUAUGCUGGAAAAAUCUAACGUGUGGUCACCUUGCCUCAGAAAGAUGAUUGGAUUGUCUAGGUUUAGGCACCUGACUCACUGUACAAUUCAUAGUGAGACUUAGAUGACAAUGAAGUGUAAUCCAAUUUGCCAAGGUGCCUAUGUGCCUCAUAUAGAUAAUAGGGAGAGCAAGGGAUGUCCUAAAGGUGAUCCAGAAGGCCCAAAGAACACAGAAAGUACAUGGGCAUGUCUCAAAUACCACUCUUCUUGGGAACUUAGGCUUCUGGUUCAGACUGCAUGGUACGCUCCUCUUAACAACAAGGAGAAAUGCAAACUGCUGCACCUAGGGAGGAAAAAUGUCCAGCACACCUACAGCCUAGGGAAUGACCUGCUGGGUGGCACGGAAGUGGAAAGGGAUCUUGGAGUCCUAGUGGACUCCAAGAUGAACAUGAGUCGGCAGUGUGACGAAGCCAUCAGAAAAGCCAAUGGCACUUUAUCAUGCAUCAGCAGAUGCAUGAUGAAUAAGUCCAAGGAGGUGAUACUUCCCCUCUAUCGGGCGCUGGUCAGACCUUAGUUGGAGUACUGCGUGCAAUUCUGGGCGCCGCAAUUCAAGAGGGAUGCGGAUAACCUGGAGAGGGUCCAGAGAAGGGCCACUUGUAUGGUUAAGGGCCUGCAGACCAAGCCCUACGAGGAGAGACUAGAGAAACUGGACCUUUUCAGCCUCCGCAAGAGAAGGUUGAGAGGCAACCUUGUGGCUGCCUAUAAGUUCAUCACGGGGGCACAGAAGGGAAUUGGUGAGUAUUUAUUCACCAAGGUGCCCCCAGGGGUUACAAGAAAUAAUGGCCACAAGCUAGCAGAGAGCAGAUUUAGAUUGGACAUUAGGAAGAACUUCUUCACAGUUCGAGUGGCCAUGGUCUGGAAUGGGCUCCCAAGUGAGGUGGUGCUCUCCCCUACCCUGGGGGUCUUCAAGAGGAGGUUAGAUAGGCAUCUAGCUGGGGUCAUCUAGACCCAGCACUCUUUCCUGCCUAUGCAGGGAGUCGGACUCGAUGAUCUAUUGAGGUCCCUUCCGACCCUAACAUCUAUGAAUCUAUAACUACUUGUGAUCCAGCCCUAGUGCUGAGGAUUGGGCACCUAAAUAACUGGCAGCUGUGAUGCCCACGUUCUACCCCAAAACCUGCUUCUUAAAGCACUUCCCAGCCUAAAAUGGAGCCUGGCAUUUGUAGUUUGUAGAGCAAGGCCAAUCUGGAUUGUUCUUAGGCACCUCAGUUUUACCUGAGACCCAUUUAGGUACUUAUAUAACCUAUUUUGAAUCUGACUGCAUGGCAAUACACAUAUUAAUAAAGAGUUCUUAAUUUAAAUGUACAGCACUAAGAUGAACACAUUUUAAAAAGGAUGUUGAGAAAGUAGUGGAGUGGAGAAGAUGUGUUCCUGGGGGUUGAUUACAAGUCUCUUUAGCUGAUCCAAAAGAAGGGGAGAUGGCAUCGCUAUAGUGAAUCUUCAAAGGGAGAGAUAAAGGGUACAAAAGGGCUCUUUUCAUUUAGCCAAGAGAGACACAACUGAAAGUCAAUGGCUAAAACAGAAAUCCAGAUAAAUUCAUGUAGCAGGCUUACCUUUCAGAGCUUGGGUUGAGUCCCAGGCUUGAGAUUCUGCUUUUUUGAUUGGUGGAGCCCAGCCACCAAUCAGGAGGCAGCAAGAGAAAUAAAGUAAUGCCCCUUUCCUGAAGGAGGGGGAGAGGAGCUCUCCCAUGGACCUGAUUGAAGACUGCAACACUGUCAGGUCUGGAAGACUUCAGGGGCGGAGCUCUGGAGAGUAUAAAAGGAGCUGCGUGCCCAGCAUGAGGGAGAUGUGUUGGGGCAGGAGAAGAGAGAAGAG